rnacentral:lncRNA from 1 species
GAUGUUUUCAGUUAGUAACGUCAAAAACCAGAGGCAACCUUAAUUCGACAACCCAGGAUUGGCUAGACAAGAUACAGUACAUACAUAAAGUGAAAUCCUAUGCAGCUAUUACAAAUCCUAUUAUAGGAAUGUAUUUGUGGGCAUGGAAAAGAGUCAUGAUACAGCACUACAUGAUAAAAACAGGGUAAAGCGUAGUCCCCCAAAUAGGCUUUUCCUGCCCUAGAAUGUACUUGUGCUCCUUCUAUCCUGAGUUCCAGGAUGAGAUUGGUGAUAAGACAGAUGAGGCCUUAAAUCCAGAGUCUUCCAUUUAAGAGAAGACAUUAAGAGAACAUAUCGGGAUUGGCCAUGGUGCUUACAGGCUGAGCCAGGAAGCACCAUCUGAGCAAACAGACCUUUCCUCAAUCAUUUUAUAGUACUGACUCACACUUAAGAGCUUAUCACUCACACCAGAUCAUUUCUGUCAAUAUAUAUAAAUUUGUGUAUGUAAAACUGACCCUAAAAUACAAAUGUGAGAAGGCAUAGGAACACGAUGUGGAAAGUAGAUGGUCUACGACCCCAGAGUUUGAGGUUGCCUCUGCCCCUGAAUAAUCAGGUGAUCCAGCAGAGGAUGUGUGCUCAUUUAGCUUUGUUAUUUGCAUAAAUAAUAAUAGGGGUUAUAAAUAGCCCCCUGGUCUAAUUCCUAGACUGAGUCCCAUAGUGGAAAGCGCUUUGUAAAGUCAGAAUUUCAUCAAUGUCCAAGAUGUUGCUGUGAUCAGAUGAUGCUGAGAGUCCACGGUGUGAUAGAAGCAGCCUCUCCUGCAGGUACAGCUUGCUGUAGUCAGAUGCAUAUUCUACCGUCAAUCCAACACCAAACAAAGGUACGUGUACAUGUGAGGGAUCUGCUUCCUGACCAUAUUGGCAGGCAAGAUCAGGUCAAUAAACAGUUUUAUUGAAAUAGCAACUUUGUUGAAAGAUAGCCAACAGAAUAGCAAGAUAUUAGUAGCUGCACUUUAAUCAUUUUGAAUGUACCAACCCAAAUCUACAUUCAUAAGUGCUCAGCAAACACACAAAACUGAGAUCCAGCUCUCUGUGUUGCAAAUAAUCAAAAAAAAAAAAAAAAUCAAGUCACUAUAACAGAAGAUCCAGAAACUGAAUAAAUGGUUGCCAAAGGAGAUUUCA